GAUAUUCUGCCCCUAAAGAGGUGGAACAUAACUCCCUACUCUUUAAGGGCAGGCUGGGCAUAGUGCUAGAGAGUGUGGUAUGGAAAAGGAGGGUGGGGAAGGGUAAAGUUAUAGUCAAGAAAGCUGAUAAACACUACCUCCAGGCAGGUGACCAAAGUCAACAUCAACAGUGAUAAGUACAUUGAUAGCAUGUACCCUUGAUAUGAUGUGAGGAGAAUGGCACUUGACCUCUGUGGUUUUCCUCUUCCCACACUUUUUAAAAAACUCAAGUUAAAAAACAUCACAUGUAAGGGCACCUGGGUGGGACAGUCGGUUAAGCAUUUGACUCUUGAUCUUAGCUCAGGUCUCAAUCUCAUGGUUUGAGUUCAAGCCCUGAGCUGGGCUCCAUGUUGGGCAUGGAGCCUACUUAGAAAGCAAAACAAAACAAACAAACAAACAAACAAAAAACAAAAACAAAAAAACCCCCAGACAACACCAGAUGUAAAUCCAAUACAAUUCCAACAAAAUUUUUCUUUCAAAAGCUAACUGUAAGAUUUAUACCAAAGAAUAAAAGGCCAGGAUAACACCAAAUAACACUGAUACUAAUGAUGAAUGCAGGCUCUACACUGUCCCCAUGAAAUCAAGACUUAUAAAGCUAUCAUUAUUUUUAAUUUUUUGUUGAAUACAUUUGACAUAACAUUGUGUGAAAAAAUAAUCAAAUGUAUCCCAAUGAGGAACAGGCUAUAAAAUACGUGACUGUACACCUCAAAAUUAUCAGGAUCUUCAAAACCAAGGGAAGUCUGAGAAACUAUCACAGCCAAGAUGAGUCCAAGGAGGCCUAACGACUACAUGUGAUAUGCUAUCCUAAUGCGAUCCUAGAACAGAGAAAAGACUGUAGGCAAAAACUAAGGAAAUCUGAAUAAACCAUCAACUGUAGUUAAUAAUAAUGUGUCAAUAUUGGUUCUCUAAUUGCAACAACUGCCUCUUUCUGGUGUACAAGGAUAGCAGUGGGAGAAACUGGGUGCCAAGUAGAGGAAGGAGACUGGAAUUCUCUGUACUGUGCAAUAUUUUCUCAACUCUGAAACUUUUCCAAAAUGAAGGCCUGGGAGGAAACACAGUCGUGGAUGAACCCAACAUUGGAAUAGAGGUCUCUAUCGAAGUCCCAGCCUGCUUUGUGGCCGCACUUUCCCAAAUUAAAACACCUGGAGUUCUUAAACCUGCUCCGAUGUUUUCUAGAUGAACUAUUGAAACUCCAAACUGGCACAGUUAGUGGCACAUUGUUCCUGUACAAGUAUCAACUCAUGUCCCAAGGACCAGAUGAGUGGAGAUAUUUAGGAACAUUUGACUAUCAUGUUCCUCAAGGUAAGUUCUGGAGACAAUGAUUCAGAAUGCAGUUCCACUGCCCUUGAAAAGAUCACAGUACGGGACGCCUGGGUGGCUCAGCAUUUGAGCAUCUGCCUUCGGCUCAGGGCGUGACCCCGGGAUCCUGGGAUCGAG
rnacentral:lncRNA from 1 species